GGGUCACCUUUCUCAAAGACACAUGCAAUGUCAUAACAAAUUUCCAUUUAACAUGGGGUACGCUGGCAAGGAAAUUUUGAUGCGUCAUUCCUACUUGGCAAUGGCCCUCAGCACUAGUAUCCCCAGUGGCCUAAGACAUCCCACUAGGCUCCACAUCUUAAAGGUUUCCAUCACCUCCCAGUAGUACCAAGCAAGGGGCCUUUGGGGAAUAUUCAAGAUCCAAACUAUAGCAUAUACAUAUGAUUCUGGUUAGGAAUUAGGGCACAGUAUGGACAGCUCAUCACUGUGCUUAGCCAUCUGAGUAUCAACUGGAAUGCCUAGGAUGGCUGAAGAUGGCUGAGACAGUUCAACUGAGGCCAUAUGUCUAGACCCUCAGGUCUUCUCCAGUGUCUGCUGGGAUGAGAAUGUCCAAGAUGGCUCCUUCACUUCGAUGGCAUCUGCACUGGGAACAGUUGGAUAGCUAGAUGCAAGUUGAGCAUGUUUUUUCACCUGGCCAAUGUGGGCUUCCUCUUAUCAUGGGAGUCCAAGGAAAAACCAACUUCUACAUUGCAGCAUUCCAAAAAAGAAGGGAAAAUGCUAGUUCUCUUAAAGGCAUAGUCCCAUAAAGAAGUCAAGGUACCUUUGUAUGAUUUUUUUCUUAAAGCUAUCACCAUGUGCUUUAUUCUAUGCAUUAAAAGUGGAUCAUUAAGUCUAGCCCACACUUUAUUAAGCUCCAUCUCUUGAAGGGAGUAAUAUCAAAGAAUUUUUGGACAGAUGUUUUUCAAAAGCACAACCCCAACAAUACAAUCCAUUUCACAUGGAACGUUAGGUGACUUCUCUUUAUCCUUCUAGUCCUCUACUUUCUCAGAACCAUAUGAGUUCCAUUCUCUGAAAUGAAUGAGCAAUGAUAGCUAAUUUCCUCUCUCUCCUAUAGUGUUGUCACCCAAACACUCCUGCUCUCCAGCCUUUAAGGGUUUAUCUCAGUAUUUUCUUCUUAGGUUGUUCCCCCCUUAGAUAAACUCUGGUGCCAGCUAUUAAAAUAAUUAAAUUUUUACUUGUUACAUAAACUUUUAUAUAAAGAAAUUUAUUUUGAACAGAAAUUCCAUAUCCAGUCAUACUGUCAAAUGUGAGAACAAAAGAAGACAUUUGAGGAUAAGCUAGGGCUCUAAUUUUCUCUAUCGUGCACCCUCUCUGGAAAAAAAAAAUAUUACUUGAGGAUGUACUUAAACAAAUUGAUAAAGGAAUCCUAGAAAAACAUCUGGGAAACCAGAGACAGACCUUGGUGCUAAAGCAUGAGAGGACUGGAAAAAAUCCUAAUUUGACAACUAUGUUGCAGACCCAAAAUACAAUUUAUCAAAACUGGAUUUGGAAAUUAGAGGUGUCUGGGACAAAUACUUCAAGAAGAAAAUAUAGAUGCACAAAUUGAGUAAAGUUGAAAUCUGGAAGUUCUUAAAGAUGAAACAAGGAUAAAAUUUCCACUAACAAGAAAUGAGAGUACAGUUAAAAACUCUGGGUGGGCAAAAUCUAUUCUAGAAAGUCAUGGUCAAACUAAAAUGCACAGGAUUUGGGACAACUGUUAGUAAGGAACAAAGACCAACAAAUAGCAAUCUAAACUGUUGAGGGCCACAGCUGAGUUGGGAUGAUGCAUGGCAUUAUGCCAGAAGGGAGUGGUUGAGAGGUGACGCCAGCGAGCCAUUGAGAUGAUGAUGGUUAUGUUAAACUGUGUAUUCAGUUGUAUAUUAGACCUUUACUAUCCGGUAAUAGGGCAGCUCUUGCUGCCUGGGCACCGGCUACUUUGGAGUUUCUGUUGAAUUCUCACAGGUUCCGAGAGUGAAUGCACUUGCAGCCCGCAGCCCGGUGGAGUGGGAGAGAGUUCCCUGGGAAUGUGCGUGGAGUGCUGGUGGAGUUCAGGCAAUAAAGUUUCCUGUUUGAACAUACAAGUGCUUUGUGGCGGCUCGCUUAUUUCUGCCCAGCCAGACUGCGGCAUAAAGCAAAGGUUCUAAGGAUGGGAGAAAGAUUUCCUCUGAGGAACACCAAUGGCAGUGGAACCGGAGAGGUGGAGAUCUUAGGGUGAAUCCACAGAUUUGAUAACUGAUGAGGUUGUUGUAACACAGCUUUCAUGGUUCUGGAGGUGAAAAGUUCAAAAUCAAGAUGUCAUCAGGACCAUGCUCCCUCUGAAGGGUCUUGGGAAGUAUUCUUCUUUGCUUCUUGCUUAUUUCUGAUGGUUCCAGCAGUUGAUAUUCCUCGGUUUAUAGCAGCACAAUCCCAAUCUUUACCUCCCAUCUUCACAUGCUGCCUUCUUCCUGUGUGUUUCCAAGUCUCCCUUUCUUUAUAAAGACACCCAUCAUUUUUAGGGCCACUCUGAUCUCACAUGACUUUAUCUUAACAUGAUUAUAUUUGCAAAGAUCCUAUUUCCAAAUAAAGUCAUAUUCACAGGUACUGGAGUUUAGGACUUGAACAGAUUUGUUUGGGAUUAAAAUUCAACCCAUUAUAAACUCUCAUUUUCCAUUACUCAACUUCAAUAGUAACUUAUUUCUAUGGUUUUAAAUGUUUAUUAUCUCUGAAAUUCAUGUUGAAAUUUAGUUAUCAUUGUAACAGUAAUAAGAGAUGAGACCUUUAGUAGGUGAUUAGGCCCAGAGGUCUGUCCCAGAAUGGAUUAAUGGCAUUAUCACAGGAGUGGAUUCUUUAUCCCAGAGGUAGAUUCAAGGAAGGAAGGAAGGA